CCUACGGAGGCAGCAGUGGGGAAUAUUGCACAAUGGGGGAAACCCUGAUGCAGCGACGCCGCGUGAGUGAAGGAGUAUUUCGGUAUGUAAAGCUCUAUCAGCAGGGAAGAAAAUGACGGUACCUGACUAAGCAGCCCCGGCUAACUACGUGCCAGCAGCCGCGGUAAUAAGUAGGGGGCAAGCGUUAUCCGGAUUUACUGGGUGUAAAGGGGGCGUAGACGGCAGCGCAAGGCUGAAGUGAAAUCCCAUGGAUUAACCAUGGAAAUGCGUUGGAAACUGUGCAGCUGGAGUGCAGGAGAGGUAAGCGGAAUUCCUAGUGUAGCGGUGAAAUGCGUAGAUAUUAGGAGGAACACCAGUGGCGAAGGCGGCUUACUGGACUGUAACUGACGUUGAGGCUCGAAAGCGUGGGGAGCAAACAGGAUUAGAUACCCCGGUAGUC
rnacentral:rRNA from 1 species